rnacentral:rRNA from 1 species
GUGGGGAAUCUUCCGCAAUGGACGAAAGUCUGACGGAGCAACGCCGCGUGAGUGAAGAAGGUUUUCGGAUCGUAAAGCUCUUUCGUUAGGGACGAACGUGCUCUUUGUGAAUAAUGAGGAGUAAUGACGGUACCUAAAUAAGAAGCCACGGCUAACUACGUGCCAGCAGCCGCGGUAAUACGUAGGUGGCAAGCGUUGUCCGGAAUUAUUGGGCGUAAAGCGCGCGCAGGCGGGAUAUCAAGUCUGUCUUAAAAGUGCGAGGCUCAACCUCGUGAGGGGACAGAAACUGGUAUUCUUGAGUGUCGGAGAGGAAAGUGGAAGUCCAAGUGUAGCGGUGAAAUGCGGAGAGAUUUGGAAGAACACCAGUGGCGAAGGCGACUUUCUGGACGAUGUCUGACGCUGAGGCGCGAAAGCUAGGGGAGCGAACGGGAUUAGAUACCCCGGUAGUCC